rnacentral:lncRNA from 1 species
CGACGCAGAAGACGGGUGAUUUCUGCAUUUGCAUCUGAGUAAAAAGAAAGAAUGGACUAAAACAGAGGAAGAAAAUCCAGAAAAGGAGGACUCCAAUCCAGAUUAAAGGAAUUUCCAAAAUGGUGGCUGAGACAAAACCUGGGGUUCAAGUCAUGUUACAGAGAUGGUGUUCCAGAUUAGUGCAGAAUAGUGGGCUCAAGAAGAAAUGCCUUCAAGAAAAGAUUGAAACCAACACACUACAAGUUUGACAUUGGAAAAGUUGAAUUGAAGAGUUGUUGGAAGGUUCUGAAGACCUCAAAUGGACUGAGCCACACUACCAGCAUCCAGCAUCCAUGGUUCUCCAGUCUGCAGAUGGCCUAUUAUGGGACUUUUCAGUCUUCAUAAUUAUAUGAGAGAAAGAAAAUGAAAAGGAUUUGUAAACUAUAAAUCUCUAAACAGAUGGGAGGAAAGGAAUUGAUGAAACAAUAAAUUUAUUGAUGAAACAAUAAAAAUAAACAUAAAGAACC